rnacentral:rRNA from 1 species
UUUGCCUACGGGAGGCAGCAGUGAGGAAUAUUGGUCAAUGGGCGAGAGCCUGAACCAGCCAAGUCGCGUGAGGGAGUACUGCCCUAUGGGUUGUAAACCUCUUUUGUCGGGGAGCAAAAGCCGGACGUGUCCGUCUGUGAGAGUACCCGAAGAAAAAGCAUCGGCUAACUCCGUGCCAGCAGCCGCGGUAAUACGGAGGAUGCGAGCGUUAUCCGGAUUUAUUGGGUUUAAAGGGUGCGCAGGCGGAGGUGCAAGUCAGCGGUCAAAUUGCGGGGCUCAACCCCGUACUGCCGUUGAAACUGCAU